GAACAGAAUCUUCAUCAUCACACAAACCAAAAGAACAACAAUGACUUUCAUCAUCAUCUUCAUCUGGACACUCACAGUCUUUACUCAAGUGUGUAGAGGACAGUACAUUCUUACUCAGAGUCCAUCAAUAACAGCAGUUCAACCAGGACAACAAGUUAAAAUAAACUGUAAAGUCAGCAGUGCAGUGCAUGGGGGUAAUUUCUUACACUGGUACUUACAGAAAUCUGGAGAAGCUCCUAAACUCCUCAUAUAUUAUGCAACAACCCUCCAGUCAGGAACUCCAUCAAGAUUCAGUGGCAGCGGAUCAAACACAGAUUUCACUUUGACCAUCAGUGGAGUUCAGACUGAAGAUUCAGGAGAUUAUUACUGUCAGAGUUUACACAUACCUAGUAGCUAUGUGUUGACACAGUGAUAAAGAGUGAUACAAAAACCUCUGUCAGUCAGACUGCACAGUGACUGAACUCAUACACCUGGGCUGGGUUUCCCGAUAACAAUUGAACUUAGCAAAGAGCACUUUCUACAAGCUACUUUGGUUUCUUUAAUCAGAUGCCAUUUCCCUUCAAAACAUUUUUUUACUGUAUAUGAAUUAUAGCAGCAACCAUUAAUCAAUUUGCUAGUACCAACUUUUACCAAAAUUGUACCAAAUACGUUUUCCUUCUUUAUUAAGUCACUUAAAUUUGAUUUAUCAUUUACAUUUUAAAUAUAUUAUAUUAAAGUAAUUUAAACAAAUAAACAAACAUGAACCCAAUAAAUAAAUAUACAUUUAAAACAUUGAAUUAUUGUCAUUGCAGGACUACAA